rnacentral:rRNA from 1 species
CCUACGGGCGGCAGCAGUGGGGAAUAUUGGACAAUGGGGGGAACCCUGAUCCAGCCAUGCCGCGUGUGUGAAGAAGGCCCUCGGGUUGUAAAGCACUUUCAGUGAGGAAGAACGCCUGGUGGUUAAUACCCAUCAGGAAAGACAUCACUCACAGAAGAAGCACCGGCUAACUCCGUGCCAGCAGCCGCGGUAAUACGGAGGGUGCGAGCGUUAAUCGGAAUUACUGGGCGUAAAGCGCGCGUAGGUGGCUUGAUAAGCCGGUUGUGAAAGCCCCGGGCUCAACCUGGGAACGGCAUCCGGAACUGUCAAGCUAGAGUGCAGGAGAGGAAGGUAGAAUUCCCGGUGUAGCGGUGAAAUGCGUAGAGAUCGGGAGGAAUACCAGUGGCGAAGGCGGCCUUCUGGACUGACACUGACACUGAGGUGCGAAAGCGUGGGUAGCAAACAGGAUUAGAUACCCUAGAAGUC